rnacentral:pre_miRNA from 1 species
AUCACCUGGAAAACUUGUUAAAAUGCAGACUCCGAUUUAGUAGGUGAGGCUUGAGAUUCUGCAUUUCUAAUAAACUCUCAGGUGAUGCUGA